AAACCCCCUCGCCGAAAGACUAAGGUUUCCUGAUCAACGCUAAUCGGAUCAGGGUCAGUCGGGUCCUAAGGCUCAGCCGAACGGCGAUGCCGAUGGCAGAAACGGUUAAUAUUCCGUUACUACCUUCAGGAGUGACGUGGAGACGCAGUAGUGACAGUGCCGCCAUCUGACGGAAUAGAUGGUUGAAGGGUGUAGGAGUCGAUCAUGGCAGGCAAAUCCACCAUGAGAUCCGAACCUGACAGUAUGCCGCGUCCUUCGGGACAAGGCAAUAGUGCGCGUAAGCAUGCUGCCGAGAAAAUCCGCUAAACUUAAUCCUGCAGGUACCCGUACCGCAAACGGACACACGUAGUCGGGAUGAAUAUUCUAAGGCGCUUGAGUGAUUCACGGUUAAGGAACUAGGCAAACUGACCCUGUAACUUCGGGAUAAAGGGUCCCUACCCUUUUAUGGGAGGGCGCAGAGAAUCGGUCCAGGCAACUGUUUAACAAAAACACAGGGCUGUGCCAAAUCGAAAGAUCCAGUAUACAGCCUGACACCUGCCCGGUGCUGGAAGGUUAAGAGGAGAUGUCAUCGAUAAGAGAAGCGUUGAAUUGAAGCCCCAGUAAACGGCGGCCGUAACUAUAACGGUCCUAAGGUAGCGAAAUUCCUUGUCGGGUAAGUUCCGACCUGCACGAAUGGUGUAAUGAUCUGGACGCUGUCUCAACCGUGAGCUCAGUGAAAUUGUAGUAUCGGUGAAGAUGCCGAUUACCCGCGAUGGGACGAAAAGACCCCGUGAACCUUUACUAUAGCUUAUCAUUGAAUCUGGGCACGUGAUGUGUAGGAUAGGUCGGAGGCUUUGAAGCAGGUACGCCAGUAUUUGUGGAGCCGCUGUUGAAAUACGACCCUUUAUUUGUUUGGAUUCUAACCCGUGGAACGGGGACAUUGAUUGGUGGGUAGUUUGACUGGGGUGGUCGCCUCCAAAAGCGUAACGGAGGCUUCUAAAGGUGCCCUCCGGCCGAUUGGUAACCGGCCUUAGAGUGUAAUGGCAUAAGGGCGCUUGACUGGGAGACUGACAAGUCGAUCAGGUAGGAAACUAGAGCAUAGUGAUCCGGUGUUUCCGUAUGGAAGGGACAUCGCUCAAAGGAUAAAAGGUACUCCGGGGAUAACAGGCUGAUCCCUCCCAAGAGCUCAUAUCGACGGAGGGGUUUGGCACCUCGAUGUCGGCUCGUCACAUCCUGGGGCUGGAGAAGGUCCCAAG
rnacentral:rRNA from 1 species